rnacentral:rRNA from 1 species
UAGCGUAUAUUAAAGUUGUUGCGGUUAAAAAGCUCGUAGUUGGAUUUCUGUUGAGAGCAGCCGGUCUACCCCUUGGGUAAGUAUCUGGAUUGAUCUCGGCAUCCUCACGAAAAACGUUUCUGCGCUUGAUUGCGUGGGCCGGGUUUCGUGACUUUUACUUUGAGGAAAUUAGAGUGUUCACGGCAGGCAUACGCCUUGAAUAUAUUAGCAUGGAAUAAUAAUAUAGGAUUCCGAUUCUAUUUUGUUGGUUUCUAGAAUCAGAAUAAUGAUUAAUAGGGACAAUUGGGGGCAUUCGUACUAUCAAGUC